rnacentral:rRNA from 1 species
CCUACGGGUGGCAGCAGUGGGGAAUAUUGGGCAAUGGGCGCAAGCCUGACCCAGCAACGCCGCGUGAAGGAAGAAGGCUUUCGGGUUGUAAACUUCUUUUCUGAGGGACGAAGAAAGUGACGGUACCUCAGGAAUAAGCCACGGCUAACUACGUGCCAGCAGACGAGGUAAUAAGGAGGUGGCAAGCGUUAUCCGGAUUGAUUGGGGGAAAAGGGCGAGUAGGCGGGAAAGCAAGUCAGAUGUGAAAACUCAGGGCUCAACCCUGAGCCUGCAUUUGAAACUGUUUUUCUUGAGUGCUGGAGAGGCAAUCGGAAUUCCGUGUGUAGCGGUGAAAUGCGUAGAUAUUAGGAGGAACACCAGUGGCGAAGGCGGCUUACUGGACAGUAACUGACGUUGAGGCUCGAAAGCGUGGGGAGCAAACAGGAUUAGAUACCCGUGUAGUC